rnacentral:rRNA from 1 species
AUUGAACGCUGGCGGCAGGCCUAACACAUGCAAGUCGAGCGAGUGGCGGACGGGUGAGUAAUGUCUGGGACACUGCCCGAUGGAGGGGGAUAACUACUGGAAACGGUAGCUAAUACCGCAUACUAUCGGAUGUACCCAGAUGGGAUUAGCUAGUAGGUGGGGUAAAGGCUCACCUAGGAGACGAUCCCUAGCUGGUCUGAGAGGAUGAUCAGCCACACUGGGACUGAGACACGGCCCAGACUCCUACGGGAGGCAGCAGUGGGGAAUAUUGCACAAUGGGCGCAAGCCUGAUGCAGCCAUGCCGCGUGUAUGAAGAAGGCCUUCGGGUUGUAAAGUACGUUCAGCGGGGAGGCGUUACUGGCAGAAGAAGCACCGGCUAACUCCGUGCCAGCAGCCGCGGUAAUAC